rnacentral:miRNA from 1 species
UACUGGCAGAGGCUCCACCUUUUUUCCUCUCUCUCUCUCUCUCCCUCUCCUUCCCCUAUUGCUUUCAUGAUAAUACUUCUUUGCUCGGGAAGUUGCACUUAUAGAGGCAGACACACACACACACACAGAGAGAGAGAGAGAGAGAGAGACGGAGAGACGGAAGUAAAAGCCGGAACAU